GAAAUUAUUGGUGAGGGUUGUAGCUGGCCUUUCGAGGCAUGUGCACGCUCGAGCCCUUAAUCCCUUUACACCUGUGCACUUAAUGUAGGUCGCCCUUNAAAAAAGGUGACCUAUGUCUUAUCAUCAACCCAUCGUAUGUCUCAUAGAAUGUAAUCGAUAUCCUCGCCCUAAAAAAGCGUUGAUAAACUUAUACAACUUUCAACAACGGAUCUCUUGGCUCUCGCAUCGAUGAAGAACGCAAGCGAAAUGCGAUAAGUAAUGUGAAUUGCAGAUUUUCAGUGAAUCAUCGAAUCUUUGAACGCACCUUGCGCUCCUUGGUAUUCCGAGGAGCAUGCCUGUUUGAGUGUCAUUAAAUUCUCAACUCCAAGGGUUUCACGACCUUUCGGAGAUUGGACUUGGAGGUGCUGGCCGCAUAUUGGUCGGCUCCUCUCAAAUGCAUCAGCGGAAUUCAACCUUUGGCUUCCGGAUGUCAGUGUGAUAAUCAUGUUGCGCUGUCGUUUGAUCCCUCAGAGUCCGCUUAUAAUGGUCUUCGGACAAAAUCAUCAUCAAAUUUGACCUCAAAUCAGGUAGGACUACCCGCUGAACUUAAGCAUAUCAAUAAGCGGAGGAAAAGAAACUAACAAGGAUUCCCCUAGUAACUGCGAGUGAAGCGGGAAAAGCUCAAAUUUAAAAUCUGGCGGUCUUGCGGCCGUCCGAGUUGUAAUCUGGAGAAGCGUCUAUCCGCGUCGGACCGUGUACAAGUCUUCUGGAAGGGAGCGUCAUAGAGGGUGAGAAUCCCGUCUUUGACACGGACUACCGAUGCUUUUGUGAUGCGCUCUCGAAGAGUCGAGUUGUUUGGGAAUGCAGCUCAAAAUGGGUGGUAAAUUCCAUCUAAAGCUAAAUAUUGGCGAGAGACCGAUAGCGAACAAGUACCGUGAGGGAAAGAUGAAAAGCACUUUGGAAAGAGAGUUAAACAG
rnacentral:rRNA from 1 species